UUCCUACAGCAAAUGAACGUUUGGGUGGAGGAAAACAGCAACAAGACAUUUAUUCCACAUUGAUGAAUGAGCAGUACUCCUCUGCAUAUUCAAGACUUGAUCAUACUGGGAGUAAUGGAUUCUUUAUAGAAGAUACUGAGUACUGGGAACCUGAUAGUAAUACUGAUGGUAUAUACCAACAAUUAUCUGAUAGGAAAUACAGAGAAAUUAUAAGACACCAAA